AUGUAAAAUAUACUGUUUUACAGGUUUCAACAUUGCAUACAGACGACAGAGAAAAAGUAAGAUAGGUCCACAGCACAAGAUUUCAAAAGAGGAAGCCAUGAAAUGGUUUCAGCAGAAGUAUGAUGGUAUCAUUCUUCCUGGAAAGUAAAGACUGUGUACCUAAGAAAAAAAAAUAAAUAAAUCCAGGUCAUAGGAUGGGUUGUUUUAUUUUUUUUUUUUAAAUGUGUGUCAAAAAAAGCAUGGUAAAAUGUGGUGGAGAAAUGAUUCUGUGAUCAAGACCAUAUAUUUUAUGUGUAAUAUUAUGUCUAUAUUUAUCAAAUACUUUGCUUCAGAAAAUUGACCAGACUAGUAAAUUGCAUUCUGCUGCAAUGAUACUAAAAAUAGCAAUUUUCUUCUUAU